UACCAUAGCUACUGGUUUGCAACUGCUCUUAAGGCGGCUGCUGUGACAUUCCUCUGUGGGAAAGAAAUUGUUGCCUAAUCAAACACUUCUUUCGUGGCAAAACAGAAAGUAGCCAUAUAUGUGUAUGACAAAC